rnacentral:rRNA from 1 species
UACGGAGGAUCCAAGCGUUAUCCGGAAUCAUUGGGUUUAAAGGGUCCGUAGGCGGCCCUGUAAGUCAGUGGUGAAAUCUCCCGGCUCAACCGGGAAAUUGCCAUUGAUACUGCAGGGCUUGAAUUAUCGGGAAGCAACUAGAAUAUGUAGUGUAGCGGUGAAAUGCUUAGAUAUUACAUAGAACACCAAUUGCGAAGGCAGCUUACUACGGAUUGAUUGACACUGAGGCACGAAAGCGUGGGGAUCAAACAGG